GGAUUGUGGCUCAGUGGCAGAGUGAUUGCCUUGCACACGUGAGGCACUGGGUUCGAUCCUCAGCACCA
rnacentral:tRNA from 1 species